rnacentral:rRNA from 1 species
AACGAACGCUGGCGGCAGGCUUAACACAUGCAAGUCGAGCGCCCCGCAAGGGGAGCGGCAGACGGGUGAGUAACGCGUGGCAGCGUACCCUUUGCUACGGAAUAGCUCCGGGAAACUGGAAUUAAUACCGUAUGUGCCCUACGGGGGAAAGAUUUAUCGGCAAAGGAUCGGCCCGCGUUGGAUUAGCUAGUUGGUGGGGUAAUGGCCUACCAAGGCGACGAUCCAUAGCUGGUCUGAGAGGAUGAUCAGCCACAUUGGGACUGAGACACGGCCCAAACUCCUACGGGAGGCAGCAGUGGGGAAUAUUGGACAAUGGGCGCAAGCCUGAUCCAGCCAUGCCGCGUGAGUGAUGAAGGCCUUAGGGUUGUAAAGCUCUUUCGCCGGUGAAGAUAAUGACGGUAACCGGAGAAGAAGCCCCGGCUAACUUCGUGCCAGCCGCCGCAGUAAGAC